AACGAACGCUGGCGGCAUGCCUAACACAUGCAAGUCGAACGAGAACUUCGGGUCUAGUGGCGCACGGGUGCGUAACGCGUGGGAACCUGCCCUUAGGGUCGGAAUAACUCUCCGAAAGGGGUGCUAAUACCGGAUAAUGUCUUCGGACCAAAGAUUUAUUGCCCUUGGUUGGGCCCGCGUUGGAUUAGCUAGUUGGUAGGGUAAAAGCCUACCAAGGCGACGAUCCAUAGCUGGUCUGAGAGGAUGAUCAGCCACACUGGGACUGAGACACGGCCCAGACUCCUACGGAAGGCAGCAGUGGGGAAUAGAGGACAAUGGGCGGAGGCCUGAUCGAGCACGGCCGCGAGAGUUAUGAAAGCCUUAGGGUUGUAAAGCUCUUUUACCCGGGAUGAUAAUGACAGUACCGAGAGAAUAAGCCCCGGCUAACUCCGUG
rnacentral:rRNA from 1 species